rnacentral:piRNA from 1 species
UCAGUUGACCUCAGGCCUGCAUCCAGGG